AACGUAGGACGCAAGCGUUAUCCGGAUUUACUGGGCGUAAAGCGCGUUCAGGCGGUUUGGCAAGUCGGGCAUGAAAUCUCUCGGCUCAACCGGGAGAGGUUGUCCGAUACUGCUGGACUUGAGGGCAGUAGAGGGUGGUGGAAUUCCGGGUGUAGUGGUGAAAUGCGUAGAUAUCCGGAGGAACACCAGUGGCGAAAGCGGCCACCUGGACUGCACCUGACGCUGACACGCGAAAGCUAGGGGAGCGAACGGG
rnacentral:rRNA from 1 species